GCUUGAGGCAUAGCUCAGUCCCCAGAGCAUGAGACUCUUAAUCUCAGGUUCGUGGGUUCGAACCCCACGUUAGGCG